UUGACCUCGGAUCAGGUAGGACUACCCGCUGAACUUAAGCAUAUCAAUAAGCGGAGGAAAAGAAACCAACAGGGAUUGCCUC
rnacentral:rRNA from 1 species